rnacentral:lncRNA from 1 species
UGGUUAACAUCCUCCAAAUCUAUUACACCAUUAACUCCUAUAAUUUGUUGCUUUCCAGGAAUUGCUAUAUGCUUUGGCUUUUGGGUAUUUUUCUUUUCAUCCUUAGAAAGGAUUUGUUCCACAUAGAAGACUUGUGCGGCACGGUUAGCAUGGAUCCAUGGAUCAUCUUUAUAACCUACUUUACUUAGGUCAAGAACUCUCUGGCCAUAGUUAUCCAAAGUGACAUGUUUAUCUUGAACCCAUCGGCAUUAGAACACUGGAAUCUG